CACGGCAUGGCCCCCCGUCCUGGCACCCGGAGCUGUGCGGGCUUCGCUGGGGGCUUGGUUGCCCGCGGGCGCGGAGCUGCGGGCGAAGCCGGAGCAGGGGCGGACGCGGAAGCCGGAGCCCGCCAGGCACUCGAGCCACGCGCCUGCAGCCGCUGGAGCCGGAAUCCUGCCGGCUCGGGUUGAUUUGUAAACAAUGGGUGACGUCGCGCCGGGCCCUACCACCGCACCGGGGCGGGGGUGACGCGCGAGCAGGCACGGGGGCAAAGGGCGGCGCGGGCGGUGACCGAAGCCGUCCCGCGCCUGUGUUCGUUGUCCCUCCAGGAGGGGGUCCGGGGCGUGGGGACUGAUUUCCGACCUCCCGGGCCCAACGAGCCGUGCUGAAACGUGGCGCCUCGGAGGAGGCUGAGGGAUGAAUUCAUUACAGAAGACCAGCUCCAUUUUCUGGGGGCACCUCUCUGGAGAGCUCUGAGAGAGAGAAGUGCUGUGCUGGACCAGUGGGAGGCAGAGAAAUGCCCUGGAUUAGGAAGCAAAAUACAAGAUGCUAGAAAGACUCAGAUGCAAUUAAAAGUAAUGAGACGGUAUCAAAAAGGGAAGCGAUGAGAACUUGUGAGCCCAGCACACUGGUUCCUGCAGGUAGACACCAAGGAUCUCCUCAGAGCCAGCGCUGAUCUCAUCCACAGAGGGAUCACAUGACCUCAUCUGGGAAAAUAUAAACCCUACCCACCUGCCUGCCCAUUUGGAAAUGCAGACUGGAGGACGCUAAGUUCAUUCUUACCUAUGUACUAACAAGUACACAAGAAGAUGCUCAAUAUCAUUAGUCCUUGGGGAAAUGCAAAUUAGAUUAUAAUGAGAUUCCAGUGUACACCCACUAGAAGGCUAUUAAAAAGGACAAUACCAACUGUUGGCAACAAUGUGGAGAAAUGGAACCCCUCCUACGUUUCUGAUGAGAAUGUAAAAUGGUGCAGAUACUUUGGAAAACAGUUUGGCAAUUUAUUAAAAGAUUAAAUAAGCAUAAACUUAC
rnacentral:lncRNA from 1 species